GGCUUAGAGUUUGAUCAUGGCUCAGGAUGAACGCUAGCGACAGGCCUAGCACAUGCAAGUCGAGGGGCAGCAUGGUAUCAGCUUGCUGAUACCGAUGGCGACCGGCGCACGGGUGAGUAACGCGUAUGUAAUCUACCUGUAACAGAGGGAUAACCCGGAGAAAUCCGGACUAAUACCUCAUAGCACAUAUUAUUCGCAUGAGUUUUAUGUUAAAGAGACUCGGUUACAGAUGAACAUGCGUUCCAUUAGCUGGUUGGCGGGGUAACGGCCCACCAAGGCAACGAUGGAUAGGGGUUCUGAGAGGAAGGUCCCCCACACUGGUACUGAGACACGGACCAGACUCCUACGGGAGGCAGCAGUGAGGAAUAUUGGUCAAUGGGCGAAAGCCUGAACCAGCCAAGUCGCGUGGAGGAAGACGGCCCUACGGGUUGUAAACUCCUUUUACCUGGGAAUAACGGGCGCUACGUGUAGCGCUGUGCAUGUACCGGGAGAAUAAGCAUCGGCUAAUUCCGUGCCAGCAGCCGCGGUAAUACGGAAGAUGCGAGCGUUAUCCGGAUUUAUUGGGUUUAAAGGGUGCGUAGGCGGAAGGAUAAGUCAGCGGUGAAAUGCUUCAGCUCAACUGGAGAAUUGCCGAUGAAACUGUUUUUCUAGAGUAUAAAAGAGGUAUGCGGAAUGCGUGGUGUAGCGGUGAAAUGCAUAGAUAUCACGCAGAACUCCGAUUGCGAAGGCAGCAUACUGGGCUAUAACUGACGCUGAAGCACGAAAGCGUGGGUAUCGAACAGGAUUAGAUACCCUGGUAGUCCACGCCGUAACGAUGAAUACUAACUGUUUGCGAUAUAAUGUAAGCGGUACAGCGAAAGCGAUAGUAUUC
rnacentral:rRNA from 1 species